rnacentral:misc_RNA from 1 species
AACACUGUUAACCUGCGGUACCUGCGGAAGGAUCAUCAUUGAAUCCAUUUCUACUCACCCUUGUGAACUGUAUGUGAACCAGGUAUUUGGCAAGGCAGCGUUUAAUGAGGCCGGGUGUAACGCAUCCCGCCUCGUUAGACGUGCACCAGGGCUCUGUGCCUUGGUACCUUGCCAAAUGCCUAUUUUAAAAUAACGCGUAAACACUUUUAUCUAAAAAUUCUUUUAAAAUCAAAACAACUU